rnacentral:lncRNA from 1 species
CUCAAUUGAUGGGAUUUAAAAAAUUAGGGUUUCUUAUGGUUCUUCAUUUUAUGCAUUUUUGUACAUUUUUAGGCUUAGAUUGAAGGAUUAAUGUUUAAGGAUGGAAAUCCGUUUGUUUUCGUUGGAAAUACACAAUUUUUUGGACAAGAUUUUUUUUCUUCUCCAGAAGAACCAAGUCUGUUCAGCCCGUGGAGAAGACGAUGACGUCAUUAAAAUUUUUUAUUUUAUUUUUUUUGUUGUCUUGGUUUUCUUGAAAUGAUUAUGCAUAUGUUGGAAUUAUUAUGCAUUUGUU